UACGUAGGGGGCAAGCGUUGUCCGGAAUCAUUGGGCGUAAAGCGCGCGUAGGCGGCCCGGUAAGUCCGUUGUGAAAGUCAAAGGCUCAACCUUUGAACGCCGAUGGAUACUGCCGGGCUAGAGUCCGGAAGAGGCGAGUGGAAUUCCUGGUGUAGCGGUGGAAUGCGCAGAUAUCAGGAGGAACACCAAUAGCGAAGGCAGCUUGCUGGGACGGUACUGACGCUAAGGCGCGAAAGCGUGGGGAGCGAACAGG
rnacentral:rRNA from 1 species